rnacentral:rRNA from 1 species
GUGUGUAUAAAGUGGCGAACGGCUGAGUAACACGUGGGCAACCUGCCCUCCUCUUGGGGAUAGCCUCGGGAAACCGAGGAUAAUACCCGAUACUUCAAUGUGGCCGCAUGACGACAUUGAGAAAGCUUUUGCGGAGAAGGAUGGGCCCGCGGCCUGUUAGCUUGUUGGUGGGGUAGAGGCCUACCAAGGCAAUGAUGGGUAGCUGGGUUGAGAGACCGACCAGCCAGAUUGGGACUGAGACACGGCCCAGACUCCUACGGGAGGCAGCAGUGGGGAAUCUUGCACAAUGGGCGAAAGCCUGAUGCAGCGACGCCGCGUGCGGGACGAAGGCCUUCGGGUUGUAAACCGCUUUCAGCAGGGACGAGGCGAAAGUGACGGUACCUGCAGAAGAAGCCCCGGCUAACUACGUGCCAGCAGCCGCGGUAAUACGUAGGGUGCAAGCGUUAAUCGGAAUUACUGGGCGUAAAGCGUGCGCAGGCGGUUCGGAAAGAAAGAUGUGAAAUCCCAGAGCUUAACUUUGGAACUGCAUUUUUAACUACCGGGCUAGAGUGUGUCAGAGGGAGGUGGAAUUCCGCGUGUAGCAGUGAAAUGCGUAGAUAUGCGGAGGAACACCGAUGGCGAAGGCAGCCUCCUGGGAUAACACUGACGCUCAUGCACGAAAGCGUGGAGAGCAAACAGGAUUAGAUACCCUGGUAGUCCACGCCCUAAACGAUGUCAACUAGCUGUUGGGGCCUUCGGGCCUUGGUAGCGCAGCUAACGCGUGAAGUUGACCGCCUGGGGAGUACGGUCGCAAGAUUAAAACUCAAAGGAAUUGACGGU